UACGUAGGCAGCAAGCGUUGUUCGGAGUUACUGGGCGUAGAGGGUGUGUAGGCGGUUCCUUAAGUUUGCUGUGAAAUCUCCCGGCUUAACCGGGAGGGUGCGGUGAAUACUGAGGGACUAGAGUACGGGAGAGGAAAGUGGAAUUCCUGGUGUAGCGGUGAAAUGCGUAGAUAUCAGGAGGAACACCGGUGGUGUAGACGGCUUUCUGGACCGUAACUGACGCUGAGACACGAAAGCGUGGGUAGCAAACAGG
rnacentral:rRNA from 1 species